CGGAGCCGCUCGCGGCGCUCGUCCCCGCGGCCCAGGCGGCAGCUCGGGGUCCCUUAGGGACGGUGUCGCGCUCUGCGGCUCUGCUCCCGUCAGAGGCUCGCAGACGUCGUCGCCGUCCUGUUGAUACCGUUAACGCUCUGAGCUUCAGUUAACGAUUGCCCCUUCCUCCUCCGGUGCGGUCUGUGCUCCAUCCUAACGCUGCCGUCACACCGCCGGUUUCGUGCGUUUGACCCGGGAGCUUGCCGCUGGGCGAGGCCUACGGGUCGGUUCAGAGACGCCGCAGACUCAAAGCACGGAUCCGGGCAGGGCACGCGGCUCUCUGCAGGGGGGAUGCCGGCCUACAGUGCUGGCUCCGCGCAGCCGGCGCAGGAAGCGGGCAGCGGGCCCAGCUCCGCCAGCGGCUGUUACCUGGGCGGGUGGCCUUAAGGCCCCGCGCCAUCGUCCUCACGCUCAGUGCGUGCGUGGUGGAGGAGAGCACGCAGGAAGGAGGGCAGAGCGGCCCUCCUGCCCUGAAGAGAACGGUUUCGCUCACCUGUUCUGCGGUCCCUGUGCCAUUGUGGCCCUGAAUGUUUUUCCCACAAGUACCUGCACGCUGCUUCCCACACCUCUCACUCCGGCAGUCAUUCGCUCUCUCCUCUCCUCGCCUGCUAUUAUAUCCCUCUUAACGGACGUAGGCACAGACAGUAAAACUCCACUUUUUCCUCUAGAUCACAACGAAUACAACAAAAUAAAGUGAAAUAAUUCAAACCUUAAAUGUUUUCCCCUUGAGACUUCUACGCGGACAUCUCAGCGCGAGGUGAGAUGUUCUUGGGUUUAGAAAGAUGCAGGGAAAUCACAGUGCUGAAUGCAGCAGAAGGAAAGCUGAGGUUCCACAGAGGGUGUUUCAGCACAGCUCCGGGGCGUUCCCCGGGUCCCACACAGCCCUGUCAGCGCACGAUGACUCAAAAGAAGAUAGAACAAUUAAUGCUCAUUUUUACUGUUUCAACCGAUUAUUUCUGGCUUGAGAUAGUGCAGAAGUUACUCACAGUGCAUAGGGCUCUGUGCCUCCCUUCAUUGCUACCCAAACAGCAAUGUCCUAUUGACCUAUUGGCAGUUGUGAAUCACGGAACUUGAUUUUUUGUUAAACGUGCCACCAUAUCGCACCGACUCGUAACAAUAAAAGUCUUGGCAGUAACGGGUGCAGGGAGAAUCGACACUGCUCUAAAGAGUAAGUGAGAAAGGGAAGAGCGGAAAGGCCAGUUCCACGGCAUGAAGGACUGCAGGAGGGGAACCGGCACAGCCCCACUGGUACUGCCCGGUGCUGCUGACGUGCACAAGCAUGCCUGCUCCCCAGCCAGCUGCUCCCCUCUUACUGGGAGCAGAGAAGAGGUGACUGGGGCAUUUGCUAACUUGGUGCUGUACACAUAGCUUACACACAGAAGUCAGUCGCCAAACUGCCGCUGCUCAUUACGAUAUUUGGUAAUUUACAGGCACCCGGCUAUGCUGCCAACGGUGGACAGAAGUCAGAAACAGAGUGGCAUCUAGCUGCCCAGCAGAACAGCACUGGAGGAUUGCGGCACUGGCUGCUACACAGGCCCGUAUUUAAAUACAGUCUAUAAAAAACUGCAAGAGUGCAUACUUGGAAGAGGUGACGCUAGGACAGCGCUCAUAGCCAAGCCACAAAGGAAAAUUUAUUUGCAUUAAAAGGGGAGGUUUGGGACACACACAAAAAAGCAGGAGCAGCAGCGGCUUAAGUGUCUGAAAGCCAGAGCUAUUUACUUAAUUAAAGAAUCCUUCCACCCAUACAAAGUAUUCUCAUUAUGGGAGACAAAAAAAUCAAGCUGAUCCUCAGGCACUGCAGCAGGAAAAAAAUAUACUACAGCCUUGCAGCAGCAGCUGGGGACCCUAUCACCGUACUACGUCCACUGCACUGUUUGCCAACAUCCACACCGCCGUGUCAGUCAGGUGGAAAAGUCACACAUGCGUGGAGUUUGCUGCACAGCAGCCCAGGACAUUUGAGAAGUAGUGCAGCAAGCGCAGAGUGAGCUACAGGCUCACUCCCAAACCUCGCGUAGUCCAGAUGUACCACUAAUUUUCUGGGUUCCUAAUUAAUGAAUCAAGAUCUACCCCCCCCCCCCCCCCCCCCCAUCGGAAUUAUUCUCUGCCAUUCUAAGAGCACAGCCUGUGCGUAAGUGUAGUGAAUGAGAUCCUUCUAUCUAGGGGAAGUGUUGCUCUGCAAUUUUUAGCUAUCUAAUCAGCCAAAGUGCUAAUCCAUACCUGGAUUUUUGAUAGCUUAUUAAUUAGCUAUAAAUUCCUGCGCUGAAUUGCUUCCCCACUCCCCUAAGAAUACAAUUACAUGGCUUGUAGAUGAUAUGUUAUAUGAUACCAUUCCAUUCGAAAACAUUUGCAGAUAUUAACUGCAGAGUAAGAAAAGAAUUGGUCUUAGAAGGCCAUAAAGCCCAGCAAUUAAAAACUAAUUAGAACUGAAACAAUGAGCCUUUUAUUAGAUCCAAGUUCAAAAAAGAUCCAACGGUAAAUUCCAGUGUACUAUUUCAGUCCAAGUGUGAAUCACGACUUGUGGCAUAAAGGGGAAUAAAGCAUUUUCUUUGAGCAGCCACACCCCUUAUGAUUGGCAAUGGAAGAAAGAUUAUGAGAAGGAUGAAAAGGUUGCCCAAGGUGACUUGGCAGCUCCAAGCUUUUGUCUCAGUUUUUCUGUGGGAAAUCGCUGCUUCCUGGGCCUGUACAGCUCCCUCUCACUAUCUCAGCUACCUCACACCAAGCAGACUCUGCUCGCAGUGAAGAUGAAGGUGUUUUGGUGACACUGGCGUGUCACACGUCCUGCAGCCCAGUGGGGUUGCAACGCCUUGCCCUGCCAGCAUACAGCUUACGGUGCUGGCAUUCAGCACACAAGUCCAGGUACGACUGAGUUGCACUGAAAAGUUAGACUGUGCCUUUCCACAUUGCAUGUAGGUUUUUCUUUUCCUUUCUUUAUUAUUUUACACAAACACAUUUUUCUAAUGAAAACUCCAGGUUCACUGACACCGUUCUUUUCACACCAACAUUCUCAGCAGGUAAUCACAUCCAAGUCACCAUCUUACAUUUCUUUUUUUACCAAAAUUUGGUGUCAAAAUCCUUUCUGAGUGACACUCUGCUAGACAAUAGCCAAACCUACCGCGGCACAGACAGCACGCCAUCACCUCGUGCACUCACUGGGCAGAACUGAGUUUGCUGGAGCAAACUUUGUACCCAUCUACAGUGUGAUCAGGAAAAAAAGAUACGAGAACAUUAGAGGAGUGAGAAGAAAGGAAAAAGGCAAACCCUAAGGUCUUCAUCACUGUGUGAAACAACGGAAAAAUGGAAAAGAACAGGCUAUUGACAAAGAGACCCAUUCACACCAAAGGCAGCAAUGAACAAAGGGCAAAUGAAGGUGGAAAAAGAAAGUCACUCACAGAAAAUGUUUUAACUUUGAGGUUAGAAAUAAAUGGUCCUGUGACAUACUUUGGAAAUUCUGUGAUUCUGCAGGAAAGAAAAAAAAAGUCAUUAAAAACUUAAAACUGAACUGAAUUCUUCCCCCUUGGUAGAUGAUCAGCAAUCUAGGACACUACAGUACAGCUUAACUGCAUGCAGACUCCCCUCUUAAUAGCUCGCAUUUAUUUUAAGACAGGCAGUUCCAUUGCCUACUUUUUCUGUGCCUUUACCAGCACUUGGCACAUGGACACAGCAGCUGCCUGAAGCAGGAGUUGGUGAAGCCAUGGCAAUACUGGGAGAAGGGGAAACCAUAGAACAUGACGCAACUUGUAGCUGGUCAUCACUGAGAGCAGCCUGUGUGAGAUUCACUUGGCAGAGCAAGAGCUCUUCCACAUACUGGGACCUUUUUUUAAUUCCUUGCUAUCUAACCUUGCAUAGAGGUUAGACAUUGCUAUUUCAUGCACAGAAUAGUAAACACAUCAUAGAAAAAUUUACCAAGGUAGGCAAUGAAGGGAGGAGAUCAAAGCAUGUAUUAGGUUUAAGCACAUUUUACUAAUACCAACGUGUUCAUGCCUGGAUGCUCCAAGUGACCUGAGUUUCUUCUCACUUCCCAGUGCAGGACACGGGAGGUGUGCUGUAGCGAUGUGCAGAUCCUGUCAGUGGAUGAAUGUACAGCUGAAAAAUACUCUCAGAAAGAGGAAUAGGACUGUUGUGUUAAUGCAAGGCAUAGGAUGAAGUGGAAACAUGAAGCACCAAAUGUUGUGGUCUAUUUUCAGCUCUUAGGAACAAGGGAAUUCUGCGUGUGACAGUCCUCCCCCAUUCAAUCCCACUUCUUCUGACUCCACUACGGUGCUGCUCUGAUCCCUGCAUCCAAAGCCUCAAGCAAAGCACUUCAGAGAAGAUCAGCCUGCAGAAGUGGCACCAAGGUAAUUGUCAGGGGCAUCUCUGUACUGCUAUCCUGGCACAGCUCUGUACUGGUCCUUGCAGCCGCAGUACGGCCAGCGUGGUAAGGAUGUAUAUCACUGUACAGAUGUUAUUUAAAAUAUCAACGAUACCUUGGUCACUCCAAAGUGGAGAGAUGCCCUGGGAGUAGGGUGGGGUAGUGUCAGCAAAACCACCUUUGUUUUUGUACAGCUACCUGAAAAUACAUCAGCACGUCAGCAGAAGUUAGAAGGGCCCAAUGAUGGAUUUACCUAGAACAAUGAUAUUUCAUUGCAGAGCUACAGCAUUUCAAUGUAGAAGUAUACAUGUUUUCAUGCAGAACUACUCCUGUUAGUUCCUAUAGAACAGUAACCCUUCCUACUUGCAGCUUUUUGCAGCAUUUUAAUUGCUAUUGCAUUACAGAGAUGAAGUGUCUGCUGUAUGACUGUAAAUACAGCUGGUAUUGCAGUGCUUGUCAUUGACAGAGAAAAAAAUAUCCAACUAACAUUUGCUAACAUGUUCACUAGCACCAGAAUCCUCUUGAAAUACAUUUACAGGGGGCAAAGCUCAAUACAAAUACACGUGCAGCAGCUGAUACACUUCUUUCAGCCUGAGGCUAUGCAACUUUUACAUAUCAAAUAGCAACAAAUGUUAUCUACAGGCUCGUAAGGGGAGGAGCAGUGAGCAAGCUGAGGCAUUUCAAACACUUUCAGAGAUUACUUUGCAAUAAACUGCACAUGGGCUGGCUCACAGCCAGGAGGAAAUCUUUGUGAGCAAUCAGGAGGAGAUGUGGUGCUGCCACGAGACAUUCAGGGCUGGAAAAGCAAUGCUAACUGGUUGUGCUGAAGGAGUCUCAGACCACUGCUGCCACUCAGAUGUGGCCUCUGCAGAGCCCUGCGUGGCUGGGAUGUGGGCUUGGAUCCAGCCUAGGUCACCUGUGUCACCGCGGUGCCUCCCAGAGCAGUGCAAUAGGGUGAAACCAUUUGGACUUCGAGUCCCGUGGAGUACCUUUGGAACUAAUUCACAGCCCAUGAGGCAGAGACCAUUCUCCAUUCACUUUGCCCUGCAUACCAUGGUGCCUGCAUCCAGAGCUCAGAGAUGCAACAGAAGAUGGUGAAAGGCCAGCAGAUAUCAGAAAAGUAGAAAUUUUUUAUAGAACUUCUACUAUCCAUUGGUACGACACGACACGUAUUCAGCACUGCAAGAGCCAGCCCAAGUUGUUUCUGAUGUACCUUCAGACAUCAAAACUGAAAGAUUUUACUUUAAUAACAGAGAGCUUUGGAACCAACUCCUCUCCCUUUGAAUCCAUAACUUGUUCUCACUACACAUGAAGGUUUUCAGUGUAAGUAUAUGAGAUUAUUCAUUUCCCUACAUUCUCCAGCCCCAUUAAAUCUCAACUUUCAUCAUGAUUUUCAAAGACACUUCAAGUCCUUUUCAACAGUUUUGAGAAACUUGCUGGGAGGGAAUGCAUUUCCAAACUAUCUGUUUUCUCAUGAAAACUGAGUUUUGCCUGGAUGCCAGGGUCAGCAGACGUUUUAUAAAUAGGUUUGGACAGAUGACAGGAAAUGAUGUAAGGUAUCAGUCCACUCCACAGAGGGCAACUGCCUGUAGUGCCCAGGAAAGAGGGACUCACACCACUGACUGCUACACAGGAAAAACAACAACAAAAACAACAACAAAAAACCAAAACAACUGCAGAGAAGCAUCACUUACUGCAGAUGGUUUCAGGUUUGUGAAGCACAAGAUCUCUGGCCUCCAUAUUACAGCUCAAGCAAAAAAAAAAAAGUAUUUGCUUGCAACUAUACUACAGUGAAAACCAGGACAAUUAAAUUUUCCUUUGAAGAGGAAAAAUUGAGCAGAAUUGUCUAAACUCGCUUUGUCUUUUACUAAUAAGGAGGAGCUUUCUGCUCCUGACAUGCUCUAAAUGCCAGCAGGCAUUGGAGAUUCUCCAGACUGUGACUGGUGCCAAACACCGGGAUCAUCUUCUUACCCUGGCAUUUACCAUCAGCUUCAGCAAAGUCUUUUCCAAUUCAAACUGCUUUAAAUGGGCUCCAAUUAUAGCUGCUUAGAAGUUAAUCUUUAUCUAUUCAUUUGAUCCCAAUAACUAUCUGCUCCUCUUCGCAAUAUCAGUACAGAUUGGAGAAGCAAUUCACUGUCUCAUUUUGUUUCUGUCAGCCUUCACAAAGGUAAAACUCAACCACUUACUCCCAAAUAAAUGCUUUUGUUGCAAGAGGGGCAAAGUCCACAGCAGAAUUCUCAACAGGUUGAACUUCAGCACGUUAACUGCAGCCUUCCCCCAAGGUGCAGCUCUUCCUAACACCAGCAAGCCCUGCUCACCCCAUUCCUCACCACGCUUUCACACCACCACUGACUGACAGCGCUCUGUGUAACAGCAGGCUACAAGCGCUAGUGAGACACAGUGACCUACCCAGCAGAUGUGCCCGCUGUCUCUCAGUGCUGAGAGAAGCCCGGCUGCAGCGUGCAGAAGAGCUGUCUUUGGAGGAGCACCAAGCACUCACGUGCAUUUGCACACAGCUCCUCUGCCCAGCCACAUCCCCACAACCACCUGCAGUGCCAUCUCAUGCAGAGUCAGCCCCAGGCACACUAGCAUGAGGCCUCUGCUGGUGUUUUUCUUUACCAAAGAGUUAACAUUUGAUCCUUCUGGUGGCCCUGCUUUUAGAAGUGGAGAGUUUCUGCUCAUCGUUUGUUACUUAUCUGUUCCCAUGACAGACAAAACAGCCUAGAAGCGCUCCCUACCUAUGGCAGGAAUACGUAAUACACGACACGUUUCUUAAGCUUCUGUACCGAGUAACUAACUUUACCAAUGCUGUGAAUUUAUAAAACUCUACAGAACUUGAUUUUUUUGCACCGAAAGCAUUGCAUCUGACUGAAUUUUUGUUAUUUUCGAGAUAUACAGUUAUUAUCUCUAUCAGGCAGUAUUGAAACAGAAACGUCCCAAACCUUUCCUGUUAAAGUCUGUGCAAACAGAAACAGAAUCCAUCUGCCUAUAUGUAAAUUCCAGAAAUUAAAGCAAAUCCAGUCGUUAGUGGUGUUCACACAUGGUGUGUGUGCAUGCGAGAAAGAGUCUGAGAGGAUACAGGAGAAGGUGGGCAAGGCUGUCAGCCUCUGUAGAGCUCAAUGAGAAUACCAGGGCAUGAGAUCCAACUGUCCUUAAUGAUCACCAGCAUAAAAAACAGACAAAAAAGCCCUAGAACUGUAAACCUGGACCUCAUUCUUUUCUGCACUUGUAAAGAAAACCUAUAUACACUAUUUGCUUCCUGACCCUACAAGAAAAAGUGUCUACAUGCCUAUUCAUUGAACAGGCUGCUCCACAUAGACAUGUUCUUCUUGUACAGAGCUAAUGCAGACUGCUUCACAGAAAUAUCUCCACAGGACUUUCCAGUGCUGAGAAAUCACUGAGAAACAGCCCAAUCAUAUAACGUACAAUCAUGUUUGGUACAGAGCUGUUAGAACAAAAACUUAUGAGACACCACAUGCACCUAAAGCUGGAUUUUGUGGCAGGGGGGAAAGAUAUUCUGCCCUCAUUCUUUCUGUUUAAUGAAACAUCGGAGAAGCAUUUAAGGCUCAGCUAAAAUCAAUUACUGAUAAGGCUAUUUUAAUAAACAGAAAUAUUGCUAACCCUUAUCUCAAAUUUCUUCUUAUUGUUUAAUCUGGACACUCCCAAAACAAAGGCAUCUGAGAUCAGCCGAAGAAGGAGAGUUUCAACCUUUGGAUCAGCUCUAAUUGCAAUACUUCAUUCUCAUGAUUGCUGCAAUUCAAUAGACCUUGAUGUCAUAAUAGAAAUUACAUGGCUGCUCUUGCUGUCAUCCAGGGCAAUGUAACUGAGCACAUAUGGACACUGUCUAAUGUUCCUGGCAUCUCACAGUGCCACGAGCCAGGUGAAAGCCCAGUCCCUUUUCCCUUGCACCCAUUAUAACAGAAGACAGGUGAACAAGUCCAUUCAUUCUUUUUCAGCUGCAAGAAAAUAUUUGUGACAAGGCCAGGCUACUCAAUGUGACAUUACACUUGGUCACCCAAAGCAAUGAAGUAUAAGGCUUCAGCCACUGAACAGGGGAAAGACUCUUCCUGGUAGUCUGUCUUGAAUGAACAGUCCAGAGGGAUGGACUGCAGCCUACAAACCCCUCAUCUUUUCCUUGUUAUUAAGUUCUCCAAAACAGAUAGCCUCUCUAAGCUUUAAAUUGUCUCAGAAAAGACAUACCCUUUAUGCCAAGGAUGGGUGCAAGUCUCACCCCUUGCCACCAGAGUCCAACCAUCCUGACAGGUCUGGACAAAGAGUAUCCUUUGUGCUGCUCCAAAAUCCUUCUUCAAGGGCAACACCAAGGAAGAGCUGACCCUCAGGUUGGCCUGUUACACACACACUGUCUUCAAAAUGCAGUGCCAUAUUCACUAAAAUGAAAUUGCUGUUUUCUGCCCCAGCCCAGCAAAGGUUUCAGAAUGUCAGCUAUUUAUUUUUUCCUGUCAGACUACCCAGGCUGGUAUUUCCACAGCUGCAUGGACUGUCUAAAUGCUUGAGAAAAGUGAGAUUAUAAUGGUCUGUGAUAAUACUCCUGUUUCAAUAAUUAAGGCAAUUCAUUUACUUGGAGAAAAAAUGAUUCAAGGACUGUAUGUACAAUCUGCGUUCAAAGUACUACCCUGAACCCAGUGCUUAUCAUCCUUGGUCCAAUGAUACUUGUUAGUAAACAAGACAGAUGUAAUCAUUGCUAGGAGUAAUAGUAAAUCAGUGGCAAGGCUUGAACAGGCCAUUGUCAAGUUGGAAAACUUCAGCCAAGCACAUGCAGUAACUGCUGAAAUCAAAUGAAAAAGCAGAGCAGUAAUUGAAACUUUUGAACCUUUUUACACAGAGGAGCAAGAAAAUUUAUCUUCCUGAUUGCUCUAACGUUUCAGAUAGCAGGAGAACAUGGGAAUAUGGCCUUAAUGUCAGCUAGUAAACUUCUGUGACCUUUCAAGGGAGCUAUAUCUGCCAUGACGAUCGUGGUAAUCAGAACAAGCUCUAUCUGCUCUGACACAGGUUGGCUGCAUGAGCAGAUACCUCUUUUUCUCUCCACAAGUGCUCAGCGCUUUGCUUCAUUCAUUGUACAAGACAGACAGUGCUCACCUGAUUAGCAGUAAUUGGAUACCAGGAAAAAUAAAAUCCAUGUACUGCCCUAUGUCUUAUUCAUCACGUCCUGCCCUGGUCUGAGGACAGAAUCACAGGCAAUUUUUUCACUUUACAGGGCUUAAGGGUUCUGCAAAUAUCCAUUAAUUUUAUUUCUCCAAUCUGCAAAGCUACCAGGAUAUCAUCAUUUUCACUAUUUUGAACAGAGUCACAAAGAUCAAUGUCACAGUAACCGUUAAUAGCAGCCAAUUUGAAAUUCCUAGAACUUUCGAAGCAAUCGCUACUUUAUUCUACCGUUCAGGUUUUCAAAGUGAUUGGUACUUCUUUCACCAACUGCAGACCCACAACGUUCUGAAUUUUGAGCAUUUGCAGAUAAUUCGAGGCUUUGUCCAGGUUGGACUUCCCCCAGCACCAGAACAUCCCCAUGUGGCUGUGUUUGCACACCCUCCACACCAGCCUCUCCACCCCCUUUCAGCUGCUCCACUGAUUUCCCAUUCAAUUCCCAGUUGCUAUUUGCUUUUCAAAUUCAAGUAAGAUUUGUUACGUUUUUUACAAAGUUUUCUCUCCAACCUAUUCCUUAAAAAUUCCCAACUCAUUCAGUACUCAUUUCUUCUGCAUUUGAGCCAAGCAGCUGCUUCCAGCUUCUUACCCGCAGGAGCCUUUGAAAGCAGCACAUGUGAGGAAUGGUCCACUUACAUCAUAUUAAGGUGCCCCAACCCAACAAAACCUGCAGCAGCCCACAGAUACAGUCACAGGAGAAUUCCUAUUUAGAAGUUUUUUCAGCUGGAACACACCCAGUACUGACAGACUGCUUGGGGAAUUUGUCUGCUACCACAUCUAUCCAGCCUACCAAACCUGAGGUCUCCAGUUCAUAUACAUUAAGAGAUUUUCCACAAGGAUAAAACACAGCUUUGAUUCCCAAUUUCAAGAAUGUCCUCCUGUUCUGGAACAGGCAAGGGACUUCUAAAGACUUUGUUCACCUGCUUUAAAAGUAGGGCAAAAUCGAUGCUUUCCUCCAGCUCAGUUCUUGUUAAAUGGCAAAGCAGUUGAGCUAAAUAUUCCAGCAAAGUUCAGAUUCGGUUGCGUACCUGGCACAAAACCUUUCUAUCCAAAGACUUACUUAACAGUCAGUCAAGUUGCAUCUAUCCAAAAAGAGGCAUGUACUCCCCCAGACUGUGGCAAUGCAGGAGCUCCACAGCCUCACCAGAGCCACGCUGUGCUUUGCCAUGCCACUGCCCUAAAGCUGCUCCCCAUCACUUCUCCCUGUGGCAAAGGAACAGACACACAGCUGCUUCUCCGUACCCAGACCCCUAUCAGGCUGCACUGCACUUCUAGGCAGCCUUUUCCUGACAUGCCCUGGGAGCUUGAAAGCCACUAGUCAUGCUGAGAGUCAGUAUGAGGGCCUUCUCACAUGAGAACAUAUAAGAGCUGAAAAAGAGAGGAUCUGUGUUUCUUUGACCAAAGGAGCACUGGCGGUGCGAAGGUGUGGGGGCACAGAGAGGCUGCGCGCUGCUGCUGGGGGUGUGGAGGGCUCUAUUCGAUACGCCCUACGAUUCCCUGUUCCACAAAAAUAUUCCAUGAUUCUAUGAACUAAUCUCCAUCGUCAGCUUCUCCAUAACCUCAGCUUUUGGCUGGUUGGAGGGACUGUGCUCAGGGGAUAGGAAGAGAUAGCAAUAAGGCAGCGUUAGCUUGGCUUUCAGGUGGUGACAGCGGCUGUAACUUGUUAUUAUCUCCACAUGACAAGCACUCCAAGACACCCCCACACCAAUCCUAUUAUGAAAAGCUAGAUUUCACAAAGCUGUUUUCCAACAUGUCAUACCCAGGUUUUGUGGCUUCCCCUGACAGUUUCACAAAGACAGGUCACAGCCGAGGAGCACAAGCCGGGGCCUGGCCUGGCCCACAGGCCCUUCCCACAGCCCCGCUCUCUGGCUUUCAUGGCGGCUGUUCCACCUGUCUGUCAUUCAGCAGCAGGUUGGCUCCUGGGGUCUUUACUGAGUGAGGGACAUGAGCAGGAGAUCCCAAAAUGAGACCUGUCCCUCCUGCUCCCCCUGCUCACAUGAGCCACCCUCCGUCACCCCGCAGGGCCUCGCUCGGUGCUGCCGGCAUCACCUGAAGAAAGCACGCAAGUUGCUUGUGAUCCUUCAGCAAAAUGCUCACAGUUACGGCAAGCAGAAGCCUAGGAGAUACAUCCCCAAAUUCACCCUUCUGUUCUUUAAAACUAGUGUUUAUUUGUGUUGCAGGUGAUGGCAGCCCCCAGUCUACCCUCACUCAUGUUUUCCCACGUGCCGAGAUGAAGCUUUGACACUCCUCUCCCUCUGCAGAGAGAGCACAGCGUUUACAUUUACAGGAACGGAGCUGUGCUUACAUAACGCUUCAGACAAUGCCAAGUCGAAUGACUGACAGAGGAAAAUCUUCUGUUAAAAAUAUAUUUUUCGUCUUUCCCAGAGAUCUAAUCUAUCUUCUGUGCAUUCCUGACCUUCAGAAAGUAUUUCCAUCUCUCACAUUAAGUAUAGCAAUCCUCUUAACAAGGGAACAUUUUGUUAGAGCUUUAAAUUGGGUUACGUAAAUUAUUUGUAGUUUUGACAGCAGGUUUCUCUUCCGUCCACAAGGACGGACGGCUGUUAGGAGAUUGCUACAAGGUUCAUUUGCAAUCACAGCAAAUAAUCAUCUGAAGGCACUGUUUGGAAUGGGAUCUUACCUAGGGAUACCCGGUACAUUUAGUAAGGUAUAAAAGCUUUUGUAAAAGCAGCAUCUUUGAUAAAUAAUUUGCAGUACAGUAACCUUCACACAAUUUAAAAAACAAAAAAACAACUGAUGUGAAUGGUAAGUUAAAGAAAAAAGAAUAACUUCCAACUCCCAUAAACUUUAGGAGGAACAGAACACAGAUGGGAAAAAAAAUCUAUUUAUCUAUAGAAACAGAGAGAGCACACAGCUCCCUGCCAGCGAGUGCUGCCUGGCACCAAGUGCAUGCCAGCCCCUGAGCUUACCCUUGCUGGCUACAAUGGGAAUCGAGAGCGGUCAGGAUUGGGCGCUUUGCAUCCACUCAAGUACUUGCUCAGAAAAAAAGAGCACAGAAUAGAAAAGUUGUUCAAGAAGUACCAGCACUACCUUUAGCACUGCAUUAGAAGGCUCUGCGACUGAAGAAAGAUAUUUUUCAGUACUCUGUUCCCACUCUUCCUUCUCAGCACCUCUCCUGGUCAGAACAUGUGGAAUGGCAGUGCGGCAUCCCUCCUUCCCUCCUGCAGCCACUGUUCAGGCUGACUGGGGCACUGAGUUUCUAACAGUUGCUUCAGGAGUGGGAAAAGAAGGGCACGAUUUAUAAAUCUGGUCACACUCCUUUUUUUUUUUGUUGUUGUUUUUUUUAAGGUUCCCCGUUAAAUUUGUGAGCAGCUUUAAAGAUAAGAGCAACAAACAAAUUAAGCGAUAUUUUAUUCAAAUUGAAAGCGUUUUGUUUGACUUUGGAACACGGAUCGCUUAAGGGGAAAAUUUAAAGUGGGGAUUUUCGGAUCAAAAUACGGACAUUUCAUUUUAAAAUCUCCUUAAGAGUAUCUCAGAUUUUUCUCCCUAAUGACAAGAGCAGUGAGUUACAAUUCAAGGAAGUUUGGGUAAGUUUUCAUACAAUUUUAAGCAUUAGCAAUUGGGAAAGUCCAGGAAAGCUGCUUUCUACACGGCCCUGUUGGCACUAAAUCCCUCCCCAGCAGCAGGCCAGGCACCACCAAAACCAGCCACCCUUUCUGCAGCGUGAAGGCACUACAAGAAGUGACACUUGAGAUGAGAAAGAGCGCAUGGGUUUGUUAAACCACUCACACACACAUAUGCACAAACACAAGAAGCAUUCUAAAGGUGUUCAGCGGAGGAGGACCUUUACUCACAGGACUGAACAUUUUCCCUGUGAUCUCGCUGUGAAUACUUUACCUUGGUGCUUCUAGUCCUACUGAGACAACUCGUAGCGCUGUAUUGCUUUCGUAUCCCCUCCCCUUCUUUGAUGCUAAACACUUAUUUUCAGCAGUCUUUACAGAACGUCUCCCUAUUAAUUAGCAGUCCAUCUCAUAACACUUUAUCUACAGAGAAUGCAAUGCGUUAGUACUUCUUGGUACAGCCUUGGUUAUUCCUUUGAAUUAUCUGGAGGCAUUAGCUGACUAAAGUACAAUGCUUUCAUUUGCAUAAAAGACCAUCUAUUGCUAUUUUGGUUAUUCUCAAGAGAGAGCUUUUUAAAUGUUAGGUAGAAAGUUCGAUCUUAAUCAUUUGUAACUUUUCUCUCUAAACAUACAGAUCUCAUAGGAGAACACACAGACAUUUAACUUACCAUUAUUGGAGCUAUCUUUUGAAUUCCUCAGUAUCAUUAAUAUUUAAGCAGAAAAGAACAGAGCGAAACAAUUAUCCUAACGACACCACACCAGAACUAACAGAAUGAUUUUUAAGAAGUCAUACAGAACAAGUGAGAAGGUCGACCAGAAAGCGCUAGUCAGGAAUAGCCGCGAUCUGAUGAGGAGGAGGAGGUUAUGUUUCUGUGACACGAGCAGUGCACAGCUGUUACUCUAGUAAUAAUUCAUCAUAUUAAUAUUUAAAUGAGAGGAGGAGGAGGAGGAGGCCAUGAGAUUGUGUGUGACUCAACGGUCCCUCCCUGUCCUUAAGCAGAAAAAUAGGCCACCAAUACGGACAGAGCAUUGGGAGCAACCGAGUGGGAAGGUUUGUUUUCAUUUCCUCUUGAAUAAAAGUGGGCAAACUGGUCCCCGAAUCGGUCUGCCAACUGCACUGCUUUUACUGCUGAAAGCUAAAUGCCUUUUCUGCUUUCAGAAGAAGCCAUUGCCUAAGGACCAAAUUGAUCAGGGAAUUAGUGCUCCGGGUCUGCACGUUGUUUCUAGGAUUUCAGUAUAUUUCCAGAGAGCUUCCCUUCCUGCAAAGAGCUGCCCGUAGGAGCCUUGCCUGACUCAGGGAACUGCAGAACCGCUGCUGUGCUUUGCCGUUUUUCUACAGACUCGGCGAUAAAAACCCUCUCUUCC
rnacentral:lncRNA from 1 species